rnacentral:rRNA from 1 species
UACAGAGGGUGCGAGCGUUGUUCGGAAUUAUUGGGCGUAAAGGGCGCGUAGGCGGUGCGGUAAGUCACCUGUGAAAUCUCCUGGCUUAACUGGGAGCUUGCAGGCGAAACUGCCGUGCUGGAGUGUGGGAGAGGUGCGUGGAAUUCCCGGUGUAGCGGUGAAAUGCGUAGAGAUCGGGAGGAACAUCAGUGGCGAAGGCGGCCAUCUGGAUCAACACUGACGCUGAGGCACGAAAGCGUGGGGAGCAAACAGG